AGUGAACGCUGGCGGUAGGCCUAACACAUGCAAGUCGAACGGCAGCACAGUAAGAGCUUGCUCUUACGGGUGGCGAGUGGCGGACGGGUGAGGAAUACAUCGGAAUCUACUUUUUCGUGGGGGAUAACGUAGGGAAACUUACGCUAAUACCGCAUACGACCUACGGGUGAAAGCAGGGGAUCUUCGGACCUUGCGCGAUUGAAUGAGCCGAUGUCGGAUUAGCUAGUUGGCGGGGUAAAGGCCCACCAAGGCGACGAUCCGUAGCUGGUCUGAGAGGAUGAUCAGCCACACUGGAACUGAGACACGGGCCAGACUCCUACGGGAGGCAGCAGUGGGGAAUAUUGGACAAUGGGCGCAAGCCUGAUCCAGCCAUACCGCGUGGGUGAAGAAGGCCUUCGGGUUGUAAAGCCCUUUUGUUGGGAAAGAAAAGCAGCAGGUUAAUACCCCGCUGUUCGGACGGUACCCAAAGAAUAAGCACCGGCUAACUUCGU
rnacentral:rRNA from 1 species